rnacentral:rRNA from 1 species
GACGAACCACACAAACGUUAUUCGGAAUUACUGGGCUUAAAGGGUGCGUAGGCGGCGCGGAAAGUUGGGUGUGAAAUCCCUCGGCUCAACCGAGGAACUGCGCUCAAUACUACCGUGCUCGAGGGAGACAGAGGUGAGCGGAACUUAGGGUGGAGCGGUGAAAUGCGUUGAUAUCCUAAGGAACACCCGUGGCGAAAGCGGCUCACGUCGGUCUUCUCUGACGCUGAGGCACGAAAGCUAGGGUAGCGAACGGG